ensembl:lincRNA 4933427E13Rik RIKEN cDNA 4933427E13 gene
ACUGUAUAAAAGGACAAAAAGAGUUGUGAUGGCAAAAGUAUUAUCAGUUGAGUUUCAGCCAGGGUAAAGCAACACUCUGUACCCGGCCUGAGUCAGUCAGAAGUCUGGGCUCUGGACUGAGUUGCUAGUAGUGACUUUCAGGUUUUCUAAGAUCCAAGAGCUAUACAUUUGCAGCUUCCAGGACACCAAAAAGGACUGGACACAAACACAUGGUGCUCACACAGUCAUUGUCUGCUGGUGCACUACAGAACCCACAAAACUUACAAUUCACUGACUGAUGGAAGAGAGCCGGGUAGGUGAGUUACAGGAAUCUGCCUUUGCUCAUUCCCCAGCACUGGAGUUACAGACCACUGUGGCCACUUUAGCUUUGAUAUGGAUGAAGACCUGAGCUCAGACAGUUCUUUGACAAAGAGGCAGAAAAGCAGUGACAAAUGACUCUCCUGAAGUGAUGUUCAGCUGGCAAAAUUCCCAGGACUGGUACAGAGAGUGACACGGGCUCAACUCAUCAGAGACAACAAAGUGAGUCCACAGAGUCAUGUGCUUGGCAGACACCUUUCCCACCCAUAGGCAUAGCUAUAUCUUCAUUCCCAUGGCCACUCACUAACCUCCUCUUGGGAUUGCAUCUGAGAUGGCAGUAGCUGCUUGCCAUCAGUUGGCCCUGCCUUACUUCAUCCAGGUUGAUGGUGCAUUGCUGAAAUAAAUUAGCUGUGCACUUUACUACACU